GCUUGUCUCAAAGAUUAAGCCAUGCAUGUCUAAGUAUAAACAUCUUUAUACUGUGAAACUGCGUACAGCUCAUUAUAUCAGUAAUUAUUUAUUUGAUGGUCACUUACUACAUGGAUAACCGUAGUAAUUCUAGAGCUAAUACAUGCGUAAAAUCCCGACUCUCGCGGGGAGGGAUGUAUUUAUUAGUUAAAAAGCCAAUGCGGGUUCUGCUCGCCAUUGUGUUGAAUCAUAGUAACUUAUCGAACGCCAUAGCCUUGUGCUGGGCGUAGAUCAUUCAAAUUUCUGCCCUAUCAGCUUUCGACGGUAGUGUAGUGGACUACCGUGGCGUUAACGGGUAACGGGGAAUUAGGGUUCGAUUCCGGAGAGGGAGCCUGAGAAACGGCUACCACAUCCAAGGAAGGCAGCAGG
rnacentral:rRNA from 1 species